rnacentral:rRNA from 1 species
AGCAGUCGCCACGGGAAUACGUAGGGCGCAAGCGUUGUCCGGAAUUAUUGGGCGUAAAGAGCUCGUAGGCGGUCUGUCGCGUCUGGUGUGAAAUCCCGAGGCUCAACCUCGGGCUUGCAUCGGGUACGGGCAGACUAGAGUGCGGUAGGGGAGACUGGAAUUCCUGGUGUAGCGGUGGAAUGCGCAGAUAUCAGGAGGAACACCGAUGGCGAAGGCAGGUCUCUGGGCCGCAACUGACGCUGAGGAGCGAAAGCAUGGGGAGCGAACAGGAUUAGAUACCCCAGUAGUCCCUGUCUCUUAUAC